UCAGGCCUAACACAUGCAAGUCGAACGGCAGCACAGGAGAGCUUGCUCUCUGGGUGGCGAGUGGCGGACGGGUGAGGAAUACAUCGGAAUCUACUCUGUCGUGGGGGAUAACGUAGGGAAACUUACGCUAAUACCGCAUACGACCUACGGGUGAAAGCAGGGGACCUUCGGGCCUUGCGCGAUUGAAUGAGCCGAUGUCGGAUUAGCUAGUUGGCGGGGUAAAGGCCCACCAAGGCGACGAUCCGUAGCUGGUCUGAGAGGAUGAUCAGCCACACUGGAACUGAGACACGGUCCAGACUCCUACGGGAGGCAGCAGUGGGGAAUAUUGGACAAUGGGCGCAAGCCUGAUCCAGCCAUACCGCGUGGGUGAAGAAGGCCUUCGGGUUGUAAAGCCCUUUUGUUGGGAAAGAAAUCCAGCUGGCUAAUACCCGG
rnacentral:rRNA from 1 species